rnacentral:lncRNA from 1 species
UUAUUCUAACCAGAGAGGAUAAGACUAAAAAAAUGGUGAUUAUAAAAGAGGAAGAGUAUAAGGCCUACUUGAGAUGGUACUUAAGGGAUUCAGAUCCCCUCACAUUGGAAGAAGAUCCGACGGAGAAUAUCGCUAACCAGAUUAAUAGAUUAGUUAGACACUUGACUUUUCCUGAAAUAUGGAAGCACCGCCCAGUCAUGGCCCCAAGAUGCCCAUGCCUGUUUGCGUAUCUGAAAAUGCACAAAGACCCAGUAGACAUUUGACCGAUAGUGGAAAAGGUCAAAGCGCCAACCUAUAGCCUAGAACGAAAAUUGGCAGUGUGGGCCGUGGCACUGUUAGGACAGACAGAAGAAUCAGCCAACAGCACUUUGUAUGCCUUUAGAGAAAUUGAGAAGAAUAAACUGGGAAGCGGGUGAUGAGAUAGUCACUUAAGACUUUGUGAGUCUGUACCCGUCACUUAAAACGAACCGGCAUGUCUAAUGUUGUACUGAUUUCUUGUUAGCCAGCAAGGUAGAUUUACAAGUAGAAGUCUCCUUACUUACAAGGAGACUACACGACUCGUGACUCAUUGAUUUUGACAAAAAAAUUUGUGCGUGCAGAACUCCACUAAU